rnacentral:rRNA from 1 species
CCUACGGGUGGCAGCAGUGGGGAAUCUUGCGCAAUGGGCGAAAGCCUGACGCAGCGACGCCGCGUGGGUGACGAAGGCCUUCGGGUUGUAAAGCCCUGUGGGGCGAGACGAACAGUCUUUGGUCGAACAGGCCGGGGAUCUGACGGUAUCGCCUUAGCAAGCACCGGCUAACUCUGUGCCAGCAGCCGCGGUAAUACAGAGGGUGCAAACGUUGCUCGGAAUUACUGGGCGUAAAGCGCGUGUAGGCGGCUUCAUAAGUCCGACGUGAAAGCCCG